rnacentral:lncRNA from 1 species
UCUUGCUACCUUCUCAUUCAGGAGGAAACCUGAGCAUUUGGAACUUCCUUGGAGUUCUUUUCAGUGCUAAGGACCAUUUGUAAGUGUCCUUAACCUCCUAAUUUUAGUUUUGAUUAGUCUAAUGACCGAAAGUCAACCUCGUCAUUGAGAGCCCCAGUAGAAGUACUUGUGCUUGCUGAUUAGAAUAUACGGCUGAGUAUAAAUUGCAUUGCUUGCUCAGACAGCGAUCCUCAGGAGGACUUCAGGAUCAGGAUCAUGGGACAUUAUAGGAUCCU